GAGGGUAGAGCUUAGUGGCAGAGUGCGUGCUUAGCAUGCACGAGGUCCUGGGUUCGAUCCCCUGUACCUCCA
rfam:Camelus ferus unplaced genomic scaffold scaffold1492, whole genome shotgun sequence.